UCGAAGGGGAAGAUAAUGACGGUACCCUUGGAGGAAGCCCCGGCUAACUACGUGCCAGCAGCCGCGGUAAGACGUAGGGGGCAAGCGUUAUUCGGAAUCAUUGGGCGUAAAGCGCUCGUAGGCGGAUCGAAUAGUCGGUGAAGAAAGACCUGGGCUCAACUCAGGGAACGGCACCGAUACUAUCGGUCUUGAGGCAAUCAGAGGAUGAUGGAAUUCCCGGUGUAGCGGUGAAAUGCGUAUAUAUCGGGAGGAACACCAGUGGCGAAGGCGAUCAUCUGGGGUUGUUCUGACGCUGAGGAGCGAAAGCUAGGGGAGCAAACGGGAUUAGAUACCCCGGUAGUCCUAGCCGUAAACGAUGGAUACUAGGUGUAGGUGGUAUCGACUCCAUCUGUGCCGCAGUUAACACAAUAAGUAUCCCGCCUGGGGAGUACGGCCGCAAGGUUAAAACUCAAAGGAAUUGACGG
rnacentral:rRNA from 1 species